rnacentral:rRNA from 1 species
UCAGAUUGAACGCUGGCGGCAGGCCUAACACAUGCAAGUCGAGCGGUAACAUUUCUAGCUUGCUAGAAGAUGACGAGCGGCGGACGGGUGAGUAAUGCUUGGGAACAUGCCUUUAGGUGGGGGACAACAGUUGGAAACGACUGCUAAUACCGCAUAAUGUCUACGGACCAAAGUGGGGGACCUUCGGGCCUCACGCCUAAAGAUUGGCCCAAGUGGGAUUAGCUAGUUGGUGAGGUAAUGGCUCACCAAGGCGACGAUCCCUAGCUGGUUUGAGAGGAUGAUCAGCCACACUGGGACUGAGACACGGCCCAGACUCCUACGGGAGGCAGCAGUGGGGAAUAUUGCACAAUGGGCGCAAGCCUGAUGCAGCCAUGCCGCGUGUGUGAAGAAGGCCUUCCGGGUUGUAAAGCACUUUCAGUAAGGAGGAAAGGUUGGAUGUUAAUAGCAUUCAGCUGUGACGUACUACAG